ensembl:lncRNA
GCUCUUUGUGGAUGUUACAUGCCUUUUAUUCUGUUUUGUCAAGAUUAUCCCACUCUGUUUUAAUAAUGUUGAAAUCUGGACUCUGGUGAGGCCAGUCCAUAACUCAUAAUGUUCCAUUGUGUGUUUUUCUAUCCAGAUAUACAGUAUGUAUACUGCACUGGCAGAGUGUUGGUGAUCAUCAGAUCAGAUGUGGGUCAGUUGUAUUUCAUGUGGUAUUACAUUCAUCAAACUUUUGCAGCCCCCUACACAUGACUGAAGAUGCUCACUGUUUUACUUCUUUUCUGAUUCGCUCUAUACAUAUUGACACAUUUUAUUUUUUUAUUCUAAUUUGGAUUGUCACUCCAGAAGAGCUGUUGCCAUUGAUUCUCGGUUUAUUUUUUAUGUGAUUUGGCAUACCUCAGUCUUUUCUCUUUGUUUCUCUUCUAUUUUUUCCCCAAAGUUUGACAUCGCACAUUGCAAGUGUAAUACACUGCUAAGAAGCGUUUGCAGUGACACAGACUUUGUUUUUCCAUUGUCUUUUUAAAUGCACAGAUGUGUUCUUUUUUAUUUUUUUAUGCUUCCUUUUACACUUUUUUGUUUAUUUUUGCGUUCCUUUCUCUGUUUCCUCCUUUCUUAGCUCUGUGAAAACCAUCAGUAGUGAGUUGUUGAGAUAAGCUGAUGUUUUAAUCCCCUCUAGCCCCUCAUCAUGGCUCAUUGCCUUAUCAAGGUCAAGAGAUUGCUUAGCAACACUUACACCAUUUUAUUGGCAUAUUAUUCAAGUGCAGAGGAAAACAAGAAAACAAGCAUUUAGGCCAAAAAAUCACUGCCAAAUAUUAUUAGGCCCUGUAGUGUUUCUGAUGACGGCCCAUAAAUAAGUUUAAUGUUGCUAGUGCUGAAACUCAACCUUAUAAUCAUUAGAGUCUUAUUUUUAGCUUCUAAUUGCUCUCUUCUAAUUUGAACUAGCCUUGGUUACUAACUUCAUAGCUAUGCUUGCUUUCAAGAAAAUCCUCAAUCUAGACUUGGCUUAUCCCGAGGCUUAGCCUUGGCCUCAAACCUCAAAAGCAACAUUGUUCCUCAAACCAUUUUAAGAAUAAUUUCAAACAUGCACACAUUACAGAUCUGAGACCUAAAUUGUUUUACUUACCAACUAUAUUCACAAAUUCCUAUUCCCUGUGGCUUAACCAAGUAUGAAA